rnacentral:lncRNA from 1 species
AGUGAUGACGGGGACAAGCCAUUCCUCUCAGGCAGCCCUUGUCCCCUCCUGGCUCCAGAAGGGCAGAAUAGGCCCAGAAGCUGCAGGCAUGGACAGAAACGAGGUCUCCCGGGCUCCGGGUGCAGAAGGCUCAGUGGAAACUUUCUGAGUGGUUGUCUUCAAAAGGCCCACCUAGCACAGGACUCCAGCAAAUGCUUCGUUGAGCCCGGAGCAGCUGUCCAGACCUGGUGUCCAGAGUGAUCCAGCAGCUCCACCCAGCAAGCUCCAGAGAUCAGCCACAGAUUGGUGCCCCCCACCCCCACCCCAGGCAGCAAGUGGCUGCAUCAUGGCCUCACUAGGGCACAGAUCAAGGUGAAGCAGGACAAGGAAGAGAUCUUCCCCAGUGGAAGAGGAUGGAGAAGAUCCUCACGGUGUAGCGGCUUCCCCAGAGGUUAGAGGACACCGCCUUAUGCCCCAGUGGGCUUUGAAGCCACAAGUGUCCUCUUUGCUAAGGUCCUGAGUUCAAAUCCCAGCAACCACACGGUGGCUCAUAACCAUCUGUAACAAGAUCUGAUGCCCUCUUCCAGAGUGUCUUAGGACAGCUACAGUGUACCCACAUUAAAUAAAUAAAAUCUUU